CAUUUUCUCAUGGAGUUGGAGCAGCAGGACCCCUAAAGGAGAGGAACUUUCCUACUGAUUUACCUUACCGAAGAUAUCUGCAAGAAUGGGCAUUUAAUGAAGUGGAAAUCUGAGUGCCGAGUUCGACAGAGUUGUCACCAAAAACAUGCUGGAGUCAUUUCUGGAAGGACUAGAUGCCACAAUGGCAAGUCUGUUGGAGCUCUACAAAGCUGGGGUGGCAUCAAAGAGGAGGUCAAACCUGAGCAGUGUUCUACAGUGUCUUCAACAGGAGGCUCAUGGAGAAACCCUUGAUAAGAGGAAUGCAGGUUGGACUGUUAAUUGGACAUGAGGAAUCUCUGCACGGUGCAUUUGCUCUCAAAGUCUUCAACGUGGCUGUGGUGGUAUAAGAGACAAUCAUUCUUCAUGACCUACAGGAUGUGCCCACAGGCUUCGCCAUGCUGAUGGGAGCAACAUACUGCCUGAACCUCCAGUACCCACACCACAUUGGGCCAAAUUAUAAUGUGGAAAUGUAUGAUACUUAACAACUUGUCUUUGGUGUGGUUUAGACAUUUUGGCUGGUUUUGUUAGCACAGCUGUUUUUUAAGCUGCUGUUUAACGUGGUUCAAAUAAAUGACUGCAUGAGC